ensembl:lncRNA
AUGCCUUUCACCCUCUCCUUCUUUUCCCAUUUUGUUUUACUGCCUCCAUGCUGUUCCUCUUUAUUUCCAGUAUUUUAUUUCAAGGAGCCAGUUUGAAGUGCUCUCAGCCCAUCUGCUGGCUUGGGUUCGAACGAGGGCUGGAACAAGACGAGGAGGUUUGGAAGCCACGAGCUAUUUAUAGUGUAUUUGUUCUUUCACAUUGGCACAGAACUUUGUUUAUAGUAUCACCUGCGGUAGAAGCCAAGCCAGGGGACCACAGCUCACUUGAUCUAAAAUUGGCUUUAUUUCUUGCAUUUCUUAACAUAGACCACAUGUGUAUGCCUGCUGCCCGCCAGCGUGUGGUUGGUGCUUGCACACACAGAGCACAAACACCGAGUGCUCAUGAGCGCGCAUAUGAAGCUCCCGAUGAGAGGCUCCCACAGAUGCUAAACAAAGCUGCAAGGAGAAGGGAGCUGUGUGUGUGCGUUGCCACCCUAGAAAGGAACGGAUCCCAAGAGAAAUCUUGAAUGAAAAUUUUUCAUUGCAAUUUCUCCCGUCGGUUUUCAUUUGCUCCAAGUAGUAUUUUCGCCUUGGGUUGGCCUGUUGAAAAACAAUGAUCAUUUUUAUUUUCCUUCUGCAUUAAAUAUUUUUUCUUCCUUUCAAAACAAAACAACAAUUUAAAUUGAAACCCAAAGAAAUCUGUCAUUUUAAAUUGCUGUUUUGACAUAAAAGCAUUUCAUUUAUUUUUCUAGCCAAGAAUCGACAUUUCAAUUUGAACCACGACAAAAUUUUUCAUUUUCUUUCAAAGUAUCAAUUACAAAUGAAAAUAUUUUCAUUUCUUCUCCUCAGAAAGUCAGAAUUUUUCAUGCUUCCAAAAUUGCAGUGAUCAUUUGAUUGGAAGAGCUGAGGUUUAAGCAAAGACAUGAAUUAAACAGCAGAACUGGCAUUCAAUUCUGGAAGCUGGUAAAAAGUGUUUCUGUUUGCAGAGUAGAUGUCCGGACAUAUUUUCUGCAGAGAUGUCUCCCUGUUCUUCCAUAAGAAUUGUUCCAGACAGACCUAUGCACAGCUGAGCCUGAGGAUAUGUUGGAAAUCUCUGGACAGGCUUCUGAAUUAUUAAAAAUCCUUUCUGGUGGAGAAGAAUAGUGAAUGAAGGGAGAAUGUUACAGAAAGAAGAUGGAGGUGACAAUCUAAAUAGGCAUUGCAAAUUUCAACAAAGCAUCUACAGUAUGGAUGAAAAGACAAGAGGAACACUGUAUAGGUAACUUUCAUAAGAUCAAUGGCUGUUCUUGCUGUAAAUCAAGAAGGAUGGAUUCCAACCAAUACGCAAUGGGGCUGCAAAGGGCAUGGCUGGAACCAGGGAGAUGGCAACAUCUUAUUCCUUGCUGUCCUGCAGCUGUGCUCUGGACUGGUCCAAGGAAUCACAGUGAAAGCCUCAUCCCAGGCAUCUCUCACUGCUCCCACAAUGCCUGUCAAAGCUGUCUGGGAAAAGGUACUCAGGGACAGUGAAGAUCUGCAGGUUGAAACUCAAACUGCUGAAGCAGAAGGAAGUAUAGUUCAUUUUUUCAUCCUUUCUUUGACUCACUGAUGUCAAACUGUGGAAAACUCUGUCAUCUUCUGAACAUGCCACCAGCAAAAUGGAGC